rnacentral:rRNA from 1 species
GUGCCAGCAGCCGCGGUAAUACCAGCCCCGCGAGUGGUCGGGACUCUUGCUGGGCCUAAAGCGCCCGUAGCCGGCCCGGUAAGUCCCUCCUUAAAGCCCCGGGCUCAACCCGGGGAGCGGGGGGAUACUGCCGGGCUAGGGGGCGGGAGAGGCCGGGGGUACCCCAGGGGUAGGGGCGAAAUCCGAUAAUCCCUGGGGGACCACCAGUGGCGAAGGCGCCCGGCUGGAACGCGCCCGACGGUGAGGGGCGAAAGCCGGGGGAGCGAACCGGAUUAGAUACCCGGGUAGUCCCGGCUGUAAACUAUGCGGGCCAGGUGUCGGGCGGGCGUUAGAGCCCACCCGGUGCCGCAGGGAAGCCGUUAAGCCCGCCGCCUGGGGAGUACGGCCGCAAGGCUGAAACUUAAAGGAAUUGGCGGGGGGGCACACAAGGGGUGGAGCCUGCGGCUCAAUUGGAGUCAACGCCGGGAACCUCUACCGGGGGCGACAGCAGGAUGACGGCCAGGCUAACGACCUUGCCCGACGCGCUGAGGGGAGGUGCAUGGCCGUCGCCAGCUCGUGCUGUGAAGUGUCCUGUUAAGUCCGGCAAGGAGCGAGACCCCCACCCCUAGUUGCUACCCGAUCCUUCGGGAUCGGGGGCACACUAGGGGGACUGCCGGCGUAAGCCGGAGGAAGGAGGGGGCCACGGCAGGUCAGUAUGCCCCGAAACCCCGGGGCUGCACGCGAGCUGCAAUGGCGGGGACAGCGGGAUCCGACCCCGAAAGGGGAAGGUAAUCCCGUAAACCCCGCCCCAGUAGGGAUCGAGGGCUGUAACUCGCCCUCGUGAACGUGGAAUCCCUAGUAACCGCGUGUCACCAACGCGCGGUGAAUACGUCCCUGCCCCUUGCACACACCGCCCGUC